UACGAAGGGGGCUAGCGUUGUUCGGAAUCACUGGGCGUAAAGGGUGCGCAGGCGGGCAUUUAAGUCAGGGGUGAAAUCCCGGGGCUCAACCUCGGAACGGCCUUUGAUACUGGAUGUCUUGAGUACGGAAGAGGUGAGUGGAACUGCGAGUGUAGAGGUGAAAUUCGUAGAUAUUCGCAAGAACACCGGUGGCGAAGGCGGCUCACUGGUCCGGACCUGACGCUGAGGCACGAAAGCGUGGGGAGCAAACAGG
rnacentral:rRNA from 1 species